AAUCAACGCUGGCGGCGUGCCUAACACAUGCAAGUCGAACGCGAAAGCCCCGCAAGGGGCAAGUAGAGUGGCAAACGGGUGAGUAACACGUGGGUGACCUGCCUCAAAGUGGGGGAUAACGACUCGAAAGGGUCGCUAAUACCGCAUAACAUCCUGCCUUUGGAUAGGCGGAGAUCAAAGCCGGGGAUCGCAAGACCUGGCGCUGGGGAGAGGGGCCCGCGGCCGAUUAGCAGUUGGUGAGGUAACGGCUCACCAAGGCAGAGAUCGGUAGCCGGCCUGAGAGGGCACACGGCCACACUGGCACUGAAACACGGGCCAGACUCCUACGGGAGGCAGCAGUGGGGAAUCUUGCACAAUGGGGCAACCCUGAUGCAGCGACGCCGCGUGAGCGAUGAAGCCC
rnacentral:rRNA from 1 species